GGACUCUAUGGCUAGGGUCGCCGAGUUCAAUUAAACUUGAUUUUUUUCAAAAUGUCAAGCUUGAUUUGAUUUGCACAAUGGAUUUUCCAAUCGAAAAAUAAAUUCAUUUGGCACUUCGUAUUCC
ensembl:ncRNA C49F5.11 ncRNA